UACGGAGGGGGCGAGCGUUAUUCGGAAUUAUUGGGCGUAAAGGGCGCGUAGGCGGCCCGGUAAGUCAAAGGUGAAAUCCCUCGGCUCAACUGAGGAACUGCCUUUGAAACUGUCGGGCUUGAGGCCGGGAGGGGGUAGCGGAAUUCCCAGUGUAGCGGUGAAAUGCGUAGAUAUUGGGAGGAACACCAGUGGCGAAGGCGGCUACCUGGACCGGUUCUGACGCUGAGACGCGAAAGCGUGGGUAGCAAACAGG
rnacentral:rRNA from 1 species